rnacentral:tRNA from 1 species
GUAGCUGAGUGUUAAAGCGCUUGGCUUUUGAAUAGGAGGUCCUGGGUUUGAAUCCUGGC